UCCUCAACAUCACCGGAGCCAGGCUAGUCAGGUCUCCCAUUAUACAUCGUUGAAGCUACUCUACCGAUUCAACCAAAAUAGUCGCUGAUUUAGUUUGGCGUCCAAAUACCAUCGCGCACACAAGCCAAAUAUCCUCUCGACAAACACUAUUCACCUUCUCGCUGCAAGAUUUUGAAGUUUAGCGCUUGAGAUUAGGGUUGGAGUCAGCCAUACAGAAGGAAAUAAGUUUGUUGAAAUUAAGUUUAUUCAACCUGGUGUUUGGAUCAUUCGGCAGCAUGGGAUUAAGCAUUGCAGUAGGAAUUUGUUACUUGAACACAGUUAUCAUGGUCUCCAGCAAGCUUCUUCAGAAUAUAAAGACCAAAGUGACUGAAGGCUGAAAAUUCAUAGUUUUCAUGGUCCAAGACUACAUGUCUCUGGCAGAAUUCAUCGGCUGCAUCAUUGGAACUCCGACAAGUGUAGAGCAGCGAUGACAUUGAUUCCAUCACACCAGGAAUUCCAGCAACAUGGAGGGAAUUUUGUUUUUUCCCUCCUAAUUCUGACAAUAUCUCUGCUGCAGCUUGCCUCAUCUCUUCUUGCUGUGAAUGUCCAACAUCUCCACCAGUCUCAAUUAUUGAUAUAGAUACACCUAUUUUUUGCAGUGUCUUUGGAAAACUUGAGAUUGGUUGAUAACUUUUGAAGAAUCCUAGCUCCAAUGAGCUGCUCAUCAGAGGAACCAGAGGCUAAGAGCUCCAUGCCUCCAUGGCAAAAGAAACCAGAUCCAUUUUCAAGCCAUCAAAGAUGCCGUCAUUUUCAUGCAUUUUCUUUUGCAAAAUUUCUAUAUUUUUUGUAAUUUUAUACAUUUUCUUUAAUUUCUACAAAACUUGUGCAAUUUCUGCAUCUUUUAUA